GAUGAACGCUGGCGGCGUGCCUAAUACAUGCAAGUCGAGCGGACGGACGAGGAGCUCGCUUCUCUGAUGUUACGGGCGGACGGGUGAUGCCCACGUAUAUACCCUACAUAUGAGAAUGGCGUCCCUUCAGGAAACCUGAGCUCAUACCCGACAUUAUUUUGAACCUGAUGGUUCUAAGGUGCUCGCCGGACCUGCUGUCCCUUAUUGAUGGUUCCGCGCUGCAUUAGCUAGUUGGUACGGUAACGGCUUACCAAGGCGACGAUGCAUAGCUGACCUGAGAGGGUGAUCGGCCACACUGGAACUGAGACACGGUCCAGACUCCUACGGGAGGCAGCAGUAGGGAAUCUUCCGCAAUGGGCGAAAGCCUGAUGGAGCAAUGCCGCGUGUGUGAUGAAGGUCUUCGGAUCGUAAAGCUCUGUUAGUAGGGAAGAAGGUAUGUGUAUGUAACUCUGCACAUCUUGACGGUACCUAAUCAGAAAGCCACGGCUAACUACGUG
rnacentral:rRNA from 1 species